rnacentral:lncRNA from 10 species
CUCCAGUCCCCAGCUGUGAAAGGGUCCACAUUUGCUGAAAUGUAACUCUUAUCUCAUGCACUGGGAGUGAUGAACUUCACUAGGAAUCAUCGUUCUUUCUGGUAAGUCACCACAGCACAAAACUGCGACCAUUGUUCAGUAACAACUAGACUCUGAUUGAUGCUGUGGAGAAUUUGACUAGAAGUAGGAGGAUCAUUUACUACACGGCAAAAAAACAAAUCAGUCUAUCUUAGAAAGGUUAAAAUUUACAUGGAUAAUAAAGAAAGGAAGAAGAAGAGUGAUAAAUUAGUGAGAAAAGAACAGUAAGUGUAAUUAUAGCAAUAUGCUUAAAUGAAAGAGAGAAAAAUAUGGUAGAAGCAUUUAUUGAUUUGAGAUUGUAAUUUUUUUAAAUAAAAAAGCUUAGUCUGGAUUCCAACUUGUAUAUAAAAUUAGGAGCAAAGGUAUGAUUAAUAUGUUCAUGGAAUAUAAUUAUCAAGAAACCACAGACAUUUGUGUAUGGAGGACACAGAAAGGAGAGAACUUGCUAACAGGAAUCCCAUUAAAGAAGCUUCAGAAUUUGAAGAUCAGCAAAGAGAAGGAAGAGAUGAGAAUGAAAGGCUUUACGAAGGAAUGAAAUGACAGUCAUUGCAUUUAUUGAUGUAUCUGUAUUUAAACAUAAGUAUAUUUAUUUAUAUUUGAACAUAACUGAGUUUUCUAGCAAAAUUAAUAAGGAUUAUGCUACAGGCAUACUCAGUUACAAUCUUAG